rnacentral:rRNA from 1 species
CGGGUGAGUAACGCGUGGGUAACCUGCCUCAUACAGGGGGAUAACAGUUGGAAACGGCUGCUAAUACCGCAUAAGCGCACGGCAUCGCAUGAUGCAGUGUGAAAAACUCCGGUGGUAUAAGAUGGACCCGCGUUGGAUUAGCUAGUUGGUGAGGUAACGGCCCACCAAGGCGACGAUCCAUAGCCGACCUGAGAGGGUGACCGGCCACAUUGGGACUGAGACACGGCCCAA